GUCCACGCCCUAAACUAUGCGAACUAGUUGUCGGGAAGCAAUUUCUUGGUAACGAAGCUAACGCGUGAAGUUCGCCGCCUGGGGAGUACGGUCGCAAGAUUAAAACUCAAAGGAAUUGACGGGGCCCGCACAAGCGGUGGAUGAUGUGGAUUAAUUCGAUGCAACGCGAAAACCUUACCUACCCUUGACAUGCCCGGGAGCCGGAUGAGAGUUCGGUGUGCUCGAAAGAGAGCCGGGACACAGGUGCUGCAUGGCUGUCGU
rnacentral:rRNA from 1 species